rnacentral:lncRNA from 1 species
AAAAAGAUAACAUUGUAAACAUUGUUAUGAUUUUUAGUCAUCAUUAUAUUAAAAUGAAAAAUGUUAACAGUGUUAUUGUGACAUUGUCAAAAUUAAAGGAAUAUUUUAUAUUUACUUUUUAAAUAUAAAUAAAUAAAAUGAGACUUUUAAAACAUAAAAUAUCAAAAUAAAAAUAAAUACAAAAAUGUAACGGUGCACAGUGAUAUUUAGUAUAAAAAAACCCAUGAAUCAAAACCAAAUUUUAAAAAUACAUAAAAAUAUACCAACAAGACACUAAUUGUCUAAUACCCCAUCAUCGCAUGUCAGGAGCAACAAUACCGUGGUGUAAAGCACUAGGCACACAUAUGUUGUGU